UUUCAAACAAACUCUUACACUUCUUCCAGUUGAAUAGACGCAGGGAAGGCUGUGGAAGAGGGAGAGGGGCAGCCUCGAAGGCCCGGCAACCAGGCCAAGAGGAGCAUUCAAUCAGAGACCUGACAUUUGCCUAUUCCCCUCUUAUCAGAGUCGCUAAGUCACUGGGGCCUUUGUGCCGCGGAAUUGGGAAGGAAGGAAUGGCCCGGCCCAGCCAAUCCCGUGUCCGGCCCUCUGCCCAGGCGCCUGCCAUUAGCAUUUCCCUGACAUCUGACUGAUAUCUUCAUUUCACUUCGGUAAACAGGCCACCUCAAGGCCAAGGUGACAGUGACCUCUGGCGCUGCAAGCAGCACGGGAUUCUCCCCGGAGGCCCUGGUAGAGCACUUUCGCAUGGGCCAGGGCUCUUAUUUCCCACCCCGCCACCACUCCGAUGAGUGCUGACUAAAUAAAUAAAGAAAGAAAGAACCGUCCUGCAGAACAGACCGCGGGUGUGCUGGGCAGAGAAAGAGAGGUGAGGAAGGGCAGCAGGGAGGGCUGGGCGAGGCAGAGGGGGAGGCCUGACUUAGAAGGUCGCCUUUGCUUCUCUGCCACUAAGAACAAUGCAGCUGCCCAGGAAACACUACCAGAGGCAGCCCGGCUAUUAAUAGGCUGGAGCACGCGGGCGGCCAAGCUGCUGCAUUUCUGAUGUUUAAAUCUCCAGUGUGAAGUUGCUUGCAGGCUCCGAUUUUGCAAAGACAAUUAAAUAUAGAUUCUUUGGGGUGAGGGUUGGGAAGGGUGUGGGUGGAAUGUAAGCCUGUGUCGCAAUGCUAUUUAAUCCUGAGUAUUUCAGUGGGUCUACUCACAUGCUCAACAGACCUACUUGAGCACGUGAGGUGUGACAAGUGCAGGGUACAACCAGAUGAAGCCGCCCCCCCCCCUUGCCCCCAGGAAACCCAUGGCCCAGGGGGUUGCAAUCACUACUUCCUGCAGGGGCCAGGCAAACAACAUACAUAAAUGAUGCAGACGGUGUGAAACAAUAGGGAACGGUGGGGUCUGUGUAUAAAGCAUAGCUGUGUCCUCUGUACAGGCAUUGGGGGCUGCUCAGCCCCAAUAAUUAUUACUGUGCAGGCAUAACAGCCCAGUUUUGCUAUGCCUUAUGAUUUUUAUUUAUUUUACAUGUUUAUUUAUUUGGGGGAGUCGCAAGCAGAGGAGGGGCGGAGGAUCCAAAGCGGGCCCUUGGGCUCUUUGCUUCUGGCAGUGAGCCCGAUGUGGGGCUUGAACUCACGAACCAGGAGAUCAUGACCUGAGCUGAAGUUGGACGCUCAACUGUCUGAGCCACCUAGGUGCCCGAUGCCUUAUGAUUUUUAAAGGAAAGACAUACAUUUGGAAUUCCGUGUGAGGUUUUUUUUUCCUGGUUUUGAAAAAUAUCGUGUGGGCCAAACAAACCACAUCUGCAGGCCUGUUGGGCCCAGGCAAGAUCUUAUAAUAACAUAUGAUAAAAGUUGAUAUAGAAGGAAUCCCAGAAGCUGAUGAGAGCCUAGAGGUGGGCAUUUAACCCAUCCAGGGUCGGGGGUGGAUAGGCCUUCGUAGUGAAGGAGAACUGUCUGAACAAUGAUAAUGAUGGAAUAAAUCAUGGCAAAAAGUUUGGGGGAACCAUUCCAGGCAGAGGAGUAGGAAUUUUGCUGGAUACAUUGCACCUGCCAGCUAAAGACUGGUUCUCAGCCUUUGUUGCAACCAAGGGUGGCCAUCUGACAAACGGUGUCUGUCUCAUGACCUUAAAGCGUGGGGGGUUGGGUGGUAAUCUGCCCUCCCCUCACCCUCCCUGCUUCCAUAUUGCUGACUGACCUGGCCAUCAAGAACACAGAUUGUGGAGCUGGUGAUGAAACCUCUUUGGCUUUGGUUUCUGUAAAAUUGAGAUAAUAUUAUCUACCCCAUAAGAAGAUAGGUUGAAGGAUUACUGUCUACAAAGUAUUUAGAACAGUGCCUGACAUGUACAUUUGCCACCCAGGCGUUAUUCCAUCAAUACGGUUCUGCUGACAAUAUUUUGGGGGGGGGGGGGGGGGGGGCAAGAAGNUGAAAAAUUUUUGGGGGGGGGGGGGCGGCGAGCAAGAAGAGGGCUGGGACCCAGCUCCAGCCUUGCACCUGCGCUGAUUCGCACAGACAAGUCGACUGCUCUCUCUCUUAUGCCACUGCGUUCUGCACCUCUGACGCAGCAGCCCCGCUAUCCUUCAAGUGCAAUGAGUAAUUCAGAGAUCGGCUGGGGCUCUUCCGGCCUGUGAAGAAAUUGCCUCAAAUUGCCCCUCGCUGCAGAGCCUGGUAAAAUCCGGAGGGACGCUGAUACCCGGUGGCUUGUGGUUCCUGGAAGUUGUGAGCCCAGGUUUCUCUUGUGCCACCCUGUCCCACACCCCAUCGUGCCCUCGAGUUCCCACAUCAGAGACAACAAGCAGGUACCCACGGGAAGUUUGAGGGGGCUGAGUGGGCUUCACUGAAAAAGGUGGCUGAGUGCCUGGGUAGAGCAGGUAUGUGA
rnacentral:lncRNA from 1 species